AGGACCCAAAACUGGCUUCGUCGUCCUGCUUCGAGACACCGUCGACCGCCGCCGUCACACCCACCAGCUCCAGCCUGCUCCGGCGCCGGCCACCGCACCCGCCGCGACAGCCACCUCACCGGAGCCAAGAUCCCGCCUGCGGCCCUGACCCCUCCCCGAGACACCGCCGACCGCCGCUUCUCGCCGACACCGCCGACCGCCGCCGCCACUUCGCCCUAUCCAGCUCUCUCCGUCGUGCCCUUCGCCGGCGACGAUCUCUCACCAGUCACAAGAUGCUACUCAAGGUUAUUGGUCGAUCUUGUCAGUCAGAAGAGGAUGAUUGUACCAAACCCAGCCAUGGCCUGGAGUGCCACUCCACUCCUCAUCCAUAUGUGUUACUGCAUCCCCGUUCUUCUUUUUUUUUCUGUUUCAAUCUCACCUGCAUUGCUGGAUGGAAUGGACAGCAUACAACCACCACCAGGAACAUGGAACAUCAAAGAACACGCGUCCUUGUUCUGCUGAUCAGCUAUUACUUAUAUCUACUUCAGUACUACAGAUAGACAUUUUUCAGUAUUUUGAACCUUGUGAACUGAAACUCUGUAAAGAUUGUGAAUUGAAUUUAAGCUGACAUGGCAGUUUCUUAGUUCA